rnacentral:rRNA from 1 species
CCUACGGGUGGCAGCAGUGAGGAAUAUUGGUCAAUGGCCGGAAGGCUGAACCAGCCAAGCCGCGUGAAGGACGAAGGUGCCAAGCAUUGUAAACUUCUUUUGUCAAGGGACAAAAUCAGGCUCGAGAGCCUGACCGAGGGUACUUGAAGAAAAAGCAUCGGCUAACUCCGUGCCAGCAGCCGCGGUAAUACGGAGGAUGCGAGCGUUAUCCGGAUUUAUUGGGUUUAAAGGGUGCGUAGGCGGUCGGAUAAGUUAGAGGUGAAAUCCCGAGGCUCAACUUCGGAAUUGCCUCUGAUACUGUUCGGCUAGAGAGUAGUUGCGGUAGGCGGAAUGUAUGGUGUAGCGGUGAAAUGCAUAGAUAUCACGCAGAACUCCGAUUGCGAAGGCAGCAUACCGGCGCCCGACUGACGCUGAGGCACGAAAGCGUGGGGAUCGAACAGGAUUAGAUACCCGGGUAGUC